AGUAAACGCUGGCGGUAGGCCUAACACAUGCAAGUCGAACGGCAGCACAGGAGAGCUUGCUCUCUGGGUGGCGAGUGGCGGACGGGUGAGGAAUACAUCGGAAUCUACCCUUUCGUGGGGGAUAACGUAGGGAAACUUACGCUAAUACCGCAUACGACCUACGGGUGAAAGUGGGGGACCGCAAGGCCUCACGCGAUUAGAUGAGCCGAUGUCCGAUUAGCUAGUUGGCGGGGUAAUGGCCCACCAAGGCGACGAUCGGUAGCUGGUCUGAGGGGAUGAUCAGCCACACUGGAACUGAGACACGGUCCAGACUCCUACGGGAGGCAGCAGUGGGGAAUAUUGGACAAUGGGCGCAAGCCUGAUCCAACCAUACCGCGUGGGUGAAGAAGGCCUUCGGGUUGUAAAGCCCUUUUGUUGGGAAAGAAAUCCUAUCGGUUAAUAACCGGUGGGGAUGACGGUACCCAAAGAAUAAGCACCGGCUAACUUCGUGCCAGCAGCCGCCGUAA
rnacentral:rRNA from 1 species